AACGGGCUUCCUGUGCUGCUUUUACCAAGCGGUUAGCUGCCUGCCCAGUAGACACAACUGCCUUCUGCCUAAGACAUGUGAAAAGAGUUGGACACUUGCUAUUUGGAGACUGUUCUCCUAACAGACAUCCAGGAGAUCUCCAGAGAUCUGUUUGAGCCUCAUUCUAUACUUCACCAUGAAAAGGAGGAAGCCCAAACUGAAGUGAGUUAAAAACUUUGUCUCCAAGAGAGGAAUGUCGCUUGGCCCCAAGCACAAUGAAGAAAAGCAACAGGAAGUCUACCACGAGGAUCAAUGAGCAAGAUGCCAUCUACGUCCCACGCUCCCAAGAUCCAGGAGGGCUUCAGAACAUGUUGGACGAAGGAGAGUAUGCCCCUUUUGUAUCUCCUCCCAUAUUAGAGAGCAAUUUUAUCCAGGUCAACAGGAGAGGUGAAUCCAUUUACCUUCACAACCAAGCCAACUGGGUGACUGUAGCCAUCUGCUCUUCCAGUCCCAGCCAUGGGACCCCCAACGUGAUGCUGCUGGCACAUCCGACACCCGCAGCCCGGAAAGAUACAGAACCCCUGUUUCAAAGUCUCCUGACAUCUCCUUCUCCAGAGAAACUGGUGCUCACCAGGUUUCUCCCUCUGCAGUUUGUGACUGUUUCUGUGCACGAUGCUGAGAACAUGCGCCUCAAAGUAAAGUUGGUGAGUGGCCGAGCCUACUACCUACAGCUCUGUGCCCCUGCGCACGAACAGGACACCUUAUUUUGUCAAUGGGUGGAACUCAUCUCCCUUUUGAAUCAGGAGAAAGCCAAAGCUUCCAAAAUGUCAGAAUUCUCAAGCUUCUCGGAAAUCACAAAUAGCACAGAGAUCACAAGCUCCCUGGACAUCAUGGAUAUUGCUGCCUUCACAGCUGUACAGCCCCAACACAUGUACACAUAUAUAGACACCGUACAUGCCAUAGAAAGCAUUGAUUUCUCAGAAUUCACAGACAACACCGAUGUCACCGACAUCACGGAUAUUCCAGAAAAUGAGGUCACAGAGGUUCCGGAUGUAAAAAUUGUCACAGAAGUCAGAGACCUCUGUGAUGUCACAAACCACGCAGAGGUCACAGAGGUGGUUGAAGGUGAUGACAUACUAAGGGCCAAGCAGGAGGAGGAGGUAUGUGACAUGGAAGACUCUCACUCUCUGGAAAAACUGGAAAACAUUCUGAAGCCUGAGUGUCCACAAGAUUCAAAAACAAAGAAUGAGUUAAAAGAAUCUUCAAACUCUGUCACCAUCUCAAACAUAACACUGAAUUUUGAAGGUGAAAAAUGUUUUCAUACUACUGUGACUCCAGAGGAAAAUGAGACAAAUACAUCUAAAGAGAUGAGCGAUAAAACCUCUGAAAUAAGGACAACUGAUUUUAACAACGUGGCUCUCAAGGCUGCAGAUUCCAGGAGCACGAGAACUCAUUCAGGGUUGUAUAGUUUUUCCAUUUUCCCUCUGAUUAGCAUUUCUUUCCCCCUUUUCACACUCCUCUGAAUCACAUCUUUUCCUCCUUUCAUAAUCUCUUACUCACACUUAACACUCUUUACCCCAAGAAAAGCAAAGAUUAGUAGAAUCUUAAUCCCUUGUCCCAUUGAAUUUAGACUGAAUCUAGACUAAAAACGAGUCUGUCAUUCCAAUUUCUAUUCUAGGCAGAAGCCAGAAUAUCAAUUGCUCCCCACCGUAGUAAAACAAAUCCCUGGUACCACGAACCUCAUCAGAGUCACAUUCACCCAACUCCUGGGCAGUCUAGAGGGGGACCAUGGUCUCUAAUUCAUCUCUCAAACCUCUCAGCAGUUUGGAAGAAUUAUGCUUGUUCUCCUUUCUGAGUAAGGUUUUGGGUAAAGUGGCUCUUCAAAUGUCCUGUUUUUAGGAAAAGGCUACGAAGCAGGGUAGCUUGUCUCUCUGGAUCUGAGUCCAUCUCUCUCCUUUCUCAACUUUCAAUUUCUUAUCUUUCUACGCUUUAUUCUCCUUCACUUUUCUGAUUUCUCUACAGUGAGCCCAAACCAUAGGCCUAUGUAUAAUCCUAUGGUGUUUUUCCAAAAUGGAAAGAAAUGAGACGAUGGAUAGAGAUUUGAGAAAAGAAGAAAAGGGAAAAUCACUUAUGAAAUCUGGGCAUGUCCUCCCCACCCUACCCAGCUUUCUUGUCUACUUUCCUCUUAACUAUUGCUAAUGAAAUUCCUUGGAAUCCUAAGCAGUCAGGUUCAUUCUUUGUUUAUGAAACCCAGGCUAAAAAGAGAGAGGGUGGAAGGACCUUAAAAGGCAAACUGUUUGUGAAAUUUUACAAUCGGAUCCAUUGGAAAAAAUAAAGACAUUUGUGAUGAAGUGGAUAGAACAUCAUUUGCAUUUAAGACACAAAUUAAGUUCUCUCUCCUUCUGUGCCUUUUUUUCUCUCCUGCUUUUGGCUGUUGUCUUUCUUCUUCACUUUCCCUCUGCCUAAUGAUCUCUCUUCCACUUUUCCCCACUAUUUUUCUUUUUGCCCUCUGGCUCUCUCCCUUCAUGUCAAAUCCUCCUUUAAUUUCUUCAAUCUUGCACAUCAUCUGUCUCCCCCUUUCUCAGGGGAAUGAAUGUGAGGAAAGGAAGGAAAAGCAGAAACAGAAAAGGUCAAUGGAAAAAACAUGAAAUUAUAAGAUAAAUACAAACUACUCAACUGAAAAACAAGCACAGCUCAAGAAACAACCACCAACGCAAGGGAAAAAUAAAGCAGUGUCUUCUGUGUGGCAGAAAUAAAGGCUACUACUAAUCAUUAAGCAUUUAAAUCCAUGUCAAUCUAGUUUCUUAAAUCUUAA